GUUACGGCUGCUGCUGUUGUUGUUGUUUCUCCUGCUGGUGGUGGUGCUGCUGCUGCUGCUAUGGCCGCCGCUGGUGUUCUGGUCUAUAGCCAGUGCGGCUGCCGCUCUGGUCUUGCGCGCCGCCGGUGGCAGCUGGUGGCUGCUACUGGAGCUCAACGUUGCUCACCGAUCGCUUCCUAGCAGCCAUAGAGAGGAGGAGUGACGGUGCCGCUGGUCGGGAGCAUCAGUCAGUUGCUGGCGUCUUUUUUUUCUACAAUAAGGGGCGCCGCCAACGCCGUCACCGCCGCUGCUGCUGCUGCUGCAAUGGACGCGGCUGCAUCUGCUGGCGCUGUUGUUGCUGGAAGUCGUAUCGCCGUGUGGCGGCAGCAAGGCAACAACCGCUGGAGUUGUAGCAGACUACACGUCCAUGCUGCGCUACCGGUCGAAUUGUUUUUUGCGUUCUUAUCGUUGGAAAUGGCUCCGGUGCUUUUUCCUACGCCAGCGAAUAUGGCGUAACUAAAUGAGGGCGGUAAAGCAAACGCUGCUCCGACGGAACCGUUCAAAGAGUCGUUCAGCUCAGCAAGUAACAACAACAGCAGCAGCAGCCGCAGCAACGAUCAGUUCAGUUAAACUCAGCGCGGCUUGCCGUUCUCUGUCGUUUUCACCAGUAGGAGCCGACCUUGUAGUAAUAAUACUAUCGAGUUCAAUGCGCUGACGAUGACAACAACAACAACAACAACAACAACAAUAAGCGAGCACCAGCAAUGUUUGGUGCGGGCGUGGCUAACGUAGCCGAUGCGUUAGACGCCGCGAUUUUACGUGGCUCGUCGUUGUUUAUAGGGUGUAUUCUGUUAUUCAAUAGCGUCUAUGGAGUAACGAGAGGUUUGUGUUUAUGUUAGUACCUAUACGGUAGGUGCCUACUGCUGCUGCUGCCGCCGCCGUCGACGGUACCGUCAUCCACAGCCAUUUUCUCUUUUGACUGUCCCUGACUAUCGCUGCUGGAUUCUUCCGUUGCCUAUUGCUUUCUUAGCCGUGCUGAGUGUUGCUGCUGCUGCCUUCUCUGCUCCGCUCUGCUCUGGCUUUCCCCAACGACGAUAAUAUUAAUAAUAGCAGCCGCGGCCUUAGCAUUCACAAUCAUCGUAUUCGGCGACCAUGAGCGCCUAUGAGCUGUUGUGAGCAUGUACGAGUCUGGUUCGUCUGUUUCACUCGCGUCUCGGGCCCCCGCCAGCAGCAAAUCAACCAAACAAACAAGUCUAGGUAAGCAACUGAGUCGUUCACAGCAGGCCAAUUCACCAGCAACGUCAUGCGGCAAUAAGGGACAGCAGCAGCUCUAGCAAGAGAGCCCGCUUUCGUCGAACUUCGGGUCACGCCGAUAGUGGGCGAGGCUCACGUUGUCGUCAACAGGGAAGGCGACGAACAGGGAGAAUCUGAGUCGUCACAUCGAUCUAGCAGACGCCGUCAGCCAACCAGACGCGAAAGCCAGCCACAAACAUGAAAUGAAUGGAACAGAAACACCGCAGCAACAAAGCCGCAUGCAGAAGGCCACACUGGACGUCCGAUGUUUGUUCCUGCGGCGGAGAGAGGAUUUUCGAUCGUCCGCCCCGGCCUGUUAUCCAAACAACCAGUCCACAACGAGCCCAGCAUGAACAGCCCAGUUGAAAUAGAGACAACAUGAAAUCGCUGCCGCUGUUGGUGCUGGUUUUGGCGUCGCGGACGGUUUUGUCCGGCAGCGCAACUCAUCAGUCGGGGACAGAGUAGAACAGAAGCGACAAUUUCAACCACGUUGAUUCUGAUAGAAGCAUGAAGGGAUGAAAACCGGCAAAGCUAGCGACAACAGGAUGCCACUGAAACGAAACUGAAAGAAAAACGUGUGUCCACCAAUCGUAGUAGGAUUUUUUGCCUCUAUUCGCUACUUUCGCCAGUAGCGCUAGUCUAGUCGGGCGUGAUACCACACCGGUUUCCGAAUGAAGAAGAGUCUUUUACUUUUUCUACCCAACGCCACAGAACAGGUUGGCGUAGCGGGCCCUGCGAUCACGAGGACCGCAGUUCAAGACACAACUACAAAGACAUGAAUCGACACGCAUACGAACGCGGGUGUAAACGACUGCUGAUAGAGAUACGAAGUGUGUGUUGCCGAGAGACGGGACUGUGUAGCGAGUCGCAUCGUAAAAAGACAGAAAGAAAAGCGGAGCCAACUGCGGCGAUUAUGGGGGCUUCAUCAACGCCACUAAAAGCAGCCGUAACAGCAAUGCGAACAGUAUUAAUUUAAUUGCGACAGUAAUAAUAGCUAUUCGUUGUUACUAUUGUUGCUGCUGUCUAAUAAAAAAUGGGCAAAAAUCAGAUAAAAUCAGGUCAGCAACAGUUCAUCUGUUGUACCAACGAGCACAAGAGGGAACAAACAGUUUGUGGGCAUACAGGCGACGUGCAAAGGACUGCGCGUGGGCCCUUGUCGAUCUGCUGGUGAAGUUGCACUAAUGGCCCAGCGUGUCAGACCAGCCGCCAGCUCCCUGCGAUAAGAAAAACGAAGGAACCGGCAGAGCCUAAAGGUGCAGCACACGCAAUAGCAACGACAGAAAAAGAGUUAUUUGGAGUUAUCGACACGUUGCCAACAGCUCGGGCACCGAUGAUGGCGACAACGGCUACGAUUGUCCUAAUGAUGGUCGUGAUUGUGUUGCUGCUGCUGUUGCCGAUGAUGAUGAUGAAGAUUAUGACGAUUCGAAGUGAAAAGUUCAACUCUCCUGAAAACUGCUCGGUGCCGAUGGCAGUUCUUCUUCUGCCUCCUUUCUCUUUCUUUUUGUCGACUUCCCCUUUUACAGAAUCGCUACAACUAUUGUAGACAGCAGAAAAUCAUAAUGGAGCAUUGGACGGAGUCAACGCCACAGCCUUUACAAAGGCGGCGGCAGCAGCAGCAGCAGAUAAACAAAAUUCGACCACUCAAAAGUAAAAAAGGAGAGACAGAAGAAGAGAAAGCAGUCGGAGUUACCAAUAGACAACAGAGCCAGAGAAUCUAACAACAGAAGAAUCCCUACUACAGGGGAAUACGAAAAAGGGGAUAUAGUUAGGGAAGGACGGAUAAUGUAAACAUUGAGUAUCCCGACAGACGCGACCGUCGGAGUCAAAUCGACGUCGACCUUUAAAGAUAAUCGGACGCGGGAGUGAUGGCGGCGCUGGGCUCGUUUUGCGGCGCGUGAUCCAAACGCAGCUCGACGCUCUCACUGGUUAGAUCGUACUGAGCGGUGACUCUAUGGGUUGACUUUCUUCAUGGGUUUUGUCAGCGAUAACAAAGCCCGGCGUCAGUGAACGUUGCUAAGAUUCGUAUAGGGGGUGCAAUUUCGGUGUCAUGACAUUGACACUGUUGGAGAAGCUUGUGAUAGGCCAAAUCAUUGGCCGUUUCGUAUGUCCACAAGUAGUUGUUAAUAGGAGAUGGACGAAGGACAAAUAGACGGUAUUAGUGAGUGAGUAAAGGAAUAACGUCGUCUAACGCAAAUAAUAACAAUAAGUAAAAAUUGGUGUUAUUUAGUUUACUGUAAGAAGCACACUGAUAAAUUCAAACUAGAAUUGAUGGAUGUGUUUCACUGUACAAAAAGAUUAAUUUUGAAAUAAGCAAAACAUAUGAUGAUGUUUCGCUAUUUCGGAUAGCCUUAGGCGACACAGUGGAAUUUCUGUGCAGAUCUACCUAAAAAUUUGUCGUCAAUCAGCUAGAUAGGUAAUAUAUUUAAUAAAUGCUUUGCUCGACGCCAACAGAUAUAUUGUAUAACAGUUACAUAGUGGUAUUACCCUUCUAGAACGUUCGAAGAUCGCUUUAUCCCGAAUUUCAAUUCAAGUUUUAGCACUACUACACAAGAGACAAUAUGGACAUUUACCAUUUCGCAGGUAGAUAUUCUACCAACUACAACAAUUCAACACGGUCGCCAGCUCUCUACCGCCAUGUCUAUGUCAUUUUUGUUCACAGCAUCGGCCACAGAUAUCGAUAUAUGCGGUCCUUAAGUAAUUAUAGCAUGGACUGAUGGGUGAGAAAAAUUCUACAAUCAAUGAUUACUCAACGUGGAUGUAUGCUUGCACCGAAAUCGCUUGAGCAGCGUUUAACUCGCCGACCGACCGACAGACGAAGCGAGAGCCCUAGUUCAAGUGAUUUUUUCAUGAGUUCUAUGAACGAUGAAACGCCUCUGAGCUCAACAGCCAUGGAGCUUCCAAAGGGUGAGAGAAGAUGCUUCAAUUGCCGCGAAGUGGUGAGACAGCGAGGUUCGUCGAUAGGUCGGCGUCAUUAAUGAGGAAAUCGGGUCAAAACCGCUCAAAGCACAUCGAUUGUCCAGCCUGUACGCAUGCGUCCGCAAGACAACACGAAGCGGGCAGAACACGUGCGAUCAGUGAUCGUGUGCGCAUCUAAUAUCGGCGUCGACUGCUUUUCUCUGGAUAGCUGUGUUCCGCAAUGAGGACAACAUAACGAAAUUGUUCUUAGCCACCGGCAACCCGUGACUGACAGUGGAGCAGACCGAAGCUUCUGCUUCCGAUUUGCGACUCUUUACUUCCACACGACUUAGGAAGCAAAACAAUAGAAAGUACUCGUCAGCCCGUAUACCUGUAUAUCCCGAAAAAUAGGCCAGCAAAAAAAACCCAAAGUAAACCCGUUAUAGGUGAACUUUGGGAGAACAUGCUGACGCUAGCGACGUUAACGAUUGAGAAUGCUGAUGUAAGUUUGAGCUCUUUAGACGACUGGGCAAUGGUGGACGGAACUUAGCAGGCGCACGCCCGUCUUCUAGUUCGCGUCGGCGUAAUCAAAUGCUGGGUGGUCGUUUCUCUACCCGAAAAAACAUAGGAACACGUGUUAAGUGCGUUAUGUAUUAUUCCAACAUCGUAAGUGAGCUAUUUACGAGGGGUGGUAGCUAACGAGGUCUUCGGAGUGUUUGAAGCUCCCUUGCCGCGUCUUGCUUGGUAGCGUGGGUAGCGUGAAGUCGCAUGUUAAUCAAAUGCAUGUAAUAAAACGAUACAUAGGUAAUAGGUCAAUAAUUAAUGCAUGGUUCGUUCGGUGCUUCCAUAGAUCAUAUGUAAAAACAGCUGGAUGGCCAAAACUAGCGACCGUUUUUAGAGCACAGAAAGGGACAGUCCGAAUAAAGCCAUGCCAGAAACUAAGUGUAAGUCUUUACAGAACAAUAUACACAUUUCCAGAAAAUAUUAUUUCCUUAUAGGAAUAAUAUCACAAUACAUUAUUUAUGGAACGCUAGAUCCUACACUAUUCUUUGCAACAAAUCGAUUAUACGAAAGGUCAUAUAUAUAUAUACCACCCACCCUAACUCAAGCUCAAGCACUUAUCCCAUUUGCGCAUGUAAACACGACUACGCAAGCACGCUGCAGGUCUAGGCAUUCUCAGCCUGAAACCGAAUUAGGAACAACGUUGGAGUUGUUCCCUCAUACAGCUAUAUUAUCCCCUUGUUGUCCUAUUAUGUUAUAUUUGUUGUCCUAUUAUGUUUGACUCGAUUUUUCACGCUCCCAUCAGCCUGUUAUUAUGGACGCACUGCCGUAUUAUCGAACUUAUUCCGUUAGUUUAACUAAUUCCAUAUUCAAACGGUUUAAUCUCAAUCGUACUAAGUAAUGAGCCACAUCAAUUAUGUUGUCUCGCUUCGAACCGGUAACUCAUGCACGAACGUUCCUCUACCUAGCCACUCCCAACCUUUGAGAUACCUAUUCAAAAAUGUCUUUCUGUUACUUUUUUGGCAAAAGAUAAUUAUUCCGAGACGCACCGUUUUCAGACAGAAUUGUCUCGCCGAAAGUCCAGUCAAUAAAUCAUCAAGCCCAUUUUCGAUGAGACGAUAGACACAUGGGUAGUUUUUAAACGAUACAAACUUCUGCGAUCACUUAACGAAAGUUUUGAUAGGUAUAACAUUUGUGAUUGUUGCCAUUACGAAUUUAGUCAUGCACAAGAAUUAGCAGACAACGUGAAACGGUACAAAUUUAAGAGUACUAUUUUUACCUUUUCCGGCAUUACCAUUAGUAAACAUUAGUCGAUUGCAUAACCUCUGCGCGGCCCAGCACAGUAGCAAACACUGAUGAGGUGCUUUGCACCGCACUCGAUGCCUUCACAUAAGGCCACUAUAAGGUGAGAUAUUCCAGUUGCAGCAUAACGAUUACGCUAAAAGUGGUCCUAGGUAAACAGUCCGUUCCGACAAUUAAAGAUCACUACGUCUAACAACUUUCUAGUCAACUAUCGACACUAAUAUAUAUAUAUAUAUAUAUAUAUAUAUAUAUAUAUGUGUGU